GACGAACGCUGGCGGCGUGCUUAACACAUGCAAGUCGAACGGAAAGGCCCUGCUUUUGUGGGGUGCUCGAGUGGCGAACGGGUGAGUAACACGUGAGUAACCUGCCCUUGACUUUGGCAUAACUUCAGGAAACUGGGGCUAAUACCGGAUAGGAGCUCCUGCUGCAUGGUGGGGGUUGGAAAGUUUCGGCGGUUGGGGAUGGACUCGCGGCUUAUCAGCUUGUUGGUGGGGUAGUGGCUUACCAAGGCUUUGACGGGUAGCCGGCCUGAGAGGGUGACCGGCCACCUUGGGCCUGCGAUACGGCCCAGACUGCUAUGGGAGGCAGUAGGGGGGAAUCUUGCACAAUGGGCGGAAGCCUGAUGCAGCAGUCCCGCGUGCGUGAUGACGUCCUUCGGGUUGUAAACCGCUUUCUCCUGUGACGAAGCGUGAUUGACGGUAACGGGUAAGGAAGCACCGGCUAACUACGUG
rnacentral:rRNA from 1 species